rnacentral:rRNA from 1 species
GCGCGUAAAUUGCCCGAAUCCUGACACAGGGAGGUAGUGACAAGAAAUAACAAUACAGGGCCAUCUUGGUCUUGUAAUUGGAAUGAGUACAAUUUACAUCUCUUCACGAGGAUCAAUUGGAGGGCAAGUCUGGUGCCAGCAGCCGCGGUAAUUCCAGCUCCAAUAGCGUAUAUUAAAGUUGUUGCAGUUAAAACGCUCGUAGUCGGAUUUCGGGGCGGAGCCGCCGGUCUGCCGAUGGGUACGCACUGGCGGGGCCGUCCUUCCUUCCGGAGACUGGCCCUACUCUUAGCUGAGCGGGGUCGGGAGUCGGAUCGUUUACUUUGAAAAAAUCAGAGUGUUUCAAGCAGGCAGCUCGCUCUUGCAUGGAUUAGCAUGGGAUAAUGAAAUAGGACUUUGGUGCUAUUUUGUUGGUUUCGAACACCGAAGUAAUGAUUAACAGGGACAGUCAGGGGCACUCGUAUUCC